rnacentral:rRNA from 1 species
CGUAGGGUGCGAGCGUUGUCCGGAUUUAUUGGGCGUAAAGAGCUCGUAGGCGGUUUGUCGCGUCGGCCGUGAAAUCUCCACGCUUAACGUGGAGCGUGCGGUCGAUACGGGCAGACUUGAGUUCGGUAGGGGAGACUGGAAUUCCUGGUGUAGCGGUGAAAUGCGCAGAUAUCAGGAGGAACACCGGUGGCGAAGGCGGGUCUCUGGGCCGAUACUGACGCUGAAGAGCGAAAGCGUGGGGAGCGAACAGGAUUAGAUACCCUGGUAGUCCACGCUGUAAACGUUGGGCGCUAGGUGUGGGCGACACCCACGUUGUCCGUGCCGUAGCUAACGCAUUAAGCGCCCCGCCUGGGGAGUACGGCCGCAAGGCUA